GGCCUCGAUGAGUAGGAGGG
rnacentral:sRNA from 1 species